GGGGUUGUGGCUUAGUGGCAUAGCGCUUGCCUCACAUGCAUGAGGCUUUGGGUUCAAUUCUCAGCACCA
rnacentral:tRNA from 1 species